AACGUAGGGGACAAGCGUUAUCCGGAUUUACUGGGCGUAAAGCGCCCGUAGGCGGCCUGACAAGUUGGACGUGAAAGCUCCUGGCUUAACUGGGAGAGGCCGUUCAAAACUGUCAAGCUAGAGUCUGGAAGAGGAGAGCGGAAUUCCCGGUGUAGUGGUGUAAUGCGUAGAGAUCGGGAGGAACACCAGUGGCGAAAGCGGCUCUCUGGUCCAAAACUGACGCUGAGGGGCGAAAGCGUGGGGAGCGAACGGG
rnacentral:rRNA from 1 species